AUUCUGGUUGAUCCUGCCAGUAGUUAUAUGCUUGUCUCAAAGAUUAAGCCAUGCAUGUCUAAGUACACACGAAUUAAAAGUGAAACCGCAAAAGGCUUAUAUUAUAUCAGUUAUGGUUCCUUAGAUCGUUAACAGUUACUUGGAUAACUGUGGUAAUUCUAGAGCUAAUACAUGCAAUUAAAACACGGACCUUAUGGGACGUGUGCUUUUAUUAGGCUAAAACCAAGCGAUCGCAAGAUCGUUACAUUGGUUGAACUCUAGAUAACAUGCAGAUCGUAUGGUCUUGUACCGACGACAGAUCUUUCAAAUGUCUGCCCUAUCAACUUUUGAUGGUAGUAUCUAGGACUACCAUGUUUGCAACGGGUAACGGGGAAUCAGGGUUCGAUUCCGGAGAGGGAGCCUGAGAAACGGCUACCACAUCUAAGGAAGGCAGCAGGCGCGUAAAUUACCCACUCCCAGCUCGGGGAGGUAGUGACGAAAAAUAACAAUACAGGACUCAUAUCCGAGGCCCUGUAAUUGGAAUGAGUACACUUUAAAUCCUUUAAAAAUUGGAGGGCAAGUCUGGUGCCAGCA
rnacentral:ncRNA from 1 species